rnacentral:rRNA from 1 species
AUUGAACGCUGGCGGCAGGCCUAACACAUGCAAGUCGAACGAGUGGCGGACGGGUGAGUAAUGUCUGGGAAACUGCCCGAUGGAGGGGGAUUACUACUGGAAACGGUAGCUAAUACCGCAUACCAUCGGAUGUGCCCAGAUGGGAUUAGCUAGUAGGUGGGGUAACGGCUCACCUAGGCGACGAUCCCUAGCUGGUCUGAGAGGAUGACCAGUCAAACUGGAACUGAGACACGGUCCAGACUCCUACGGGAGGCAGCAGUGGGGACUAUUGCACAAUGGGCGCAAGCCUGAUACAGCCAUGCCGCGUGUAUGAAGAAGGCCUUCGUGUUGAAAAGUACUUUCAGCGAGGAGGCGUUACUCGCAGAAGAAGCACCGGCUAACUCCGUGCCAGCAGCCGCGGUAAUUC